rnacentral:misc_RNA from 1 species
GAUGAAGAACGCAGCGAAAUGCGAUAAGUAAUGUGAAUUGCAGAAUUCAGUGAAUCAUCGAAUCUUUGAACGCACAUUGCGCCCGCCAGUAUUCUGGCGGGCAUGCCUGUUCGAGCGUCAUUACAACCCUCAGGCCCCCGGGCCUGGCGUUGGGGAUCGGCAGAAGCCCCCUGUGGGCACACGCCGUCCCUCAAAUACAGUGGCGGUCCCGCCGCAGCUUCCAUUGCGUAGUAGCUAACACCUCGCAACUGGAGAGCGGCGCGGCCAUGCCGUAAAACACCCAACUUCUGAAUGUUGACCUCGAAUCAGGUAGGAAUACCCGCUGAACUUAAGCAUAUCAUAAGCGGAGGA